rnacentral:lncRNA from 1 species
CUCUCUCUGGAACUCCAAUUGUGCCAGGGGAUGAAGACAAUCUGCGGAAGACCCAGCGAUGGGUGUGGAGCCAGGAGGCUGGUGGGCAGGGCCGGGUCCUUCCCGCUCUGGGAACCAAGACCCCAGGCCGGAGGAGGGAAGAGUCUGUGGAAGGGGUGAGGCAGGCUGAAGGCCAGGAAAGAGGGAGGCACAGCUGGAUGCUGCCACCGAGGAGGCCUCAUCUUCCUUCCAGACUCUGGGCAGAGAGCAGGAAGUAAGGAUGUCCCAGGAGUGGCUUCCCGGAAGUGUGCUCGGGGCAGCUGCCAUCGGAGGCCAGGCCCAGGCCCUCCCUGAGCAGUCUGAGUCCCGCAGAGGUGACUUCCUGCAAAUGUCCGUCCAUGGACCAUUCACCAGUUGCUGGAUGCUGGAGAUGCAGAU